UGAUUCCGCCUGAGGAUGAGUCUACUUCCUAUUAGCUAGUUGGCGGGGUAAUGGCCCACCAAGGCAACGAUGGGUAGCGGGUGUGAGAGCACGAUCCGCCUCACUGGGACUGAGACACUGCCCAGACACCUACGGGUGGCUGCAGUCGAGAAUCUUCGGCAAUGGGGGAAACCCUGACCGAGCGACGCCGCGUGCGGGAUGAAGGCCCUUGGGUUGUAAACCGCUGUCGUAAGGGAUGAAACGCUAGUGAGUUAUCUCAUUAGUUUGACUGAACCUAGGAGGAAGGGCCGGCUAAUCUCGUG
rnacentral:rRNA from 1 species